UACGUAGGCAGCAAGCGUUGUUCGGAAUUACUGGGCGUAAAGAGUGUGUAGGUGGUGUCGUAAGUUUGGUGUGAAAUCUCCCGGCUUAACUGGGAGGGUGCGCCGAAGACUGCGAUGCUGGAGUAUGGGAGAGGAAAGCGGAAUUCCACGUGUAGCGGUGAAAUGCGUAGAGAUGUGGAGGAACACCAGUGGCGAAGGCGGCUUUUUGGUCUGUAA
rnacentral:rRNA from 1 species